rnacentral:rRNA from 1 species
UACGUAGGGUGCAAGCGUUGUCCGGAAUUAUUGGGCGUAAAGAGCUCGUAGGCGGUCUGUCGCGUCUGCUGUGAAAACUCGGGGCUUAACCCCGGGCCUGCAGUGGGUACGGGCAGACUAGAGUGCGGUAGGGGAGACUGGAAUUCCUGGUGUAGCGGUGAAAUGCGCAGAUAUCGGGAGGAACACCGGUGGCGAAGGCGGCGAUCUGGGUAGAUACUGACGCUGAGGUGCGAAAGCAUGGGGAGCGAACAGG